rnacentral:rRNA from 1 species
GAUGAACGCUGGCGGCGUGCCUAAUACAUGCAAGUCGAGCGAAGCGGGGACGGGGGAGUAACACGUCGAUGACCUCCCAUAAGACUGGGAUAACUUCGGGAAACCGGAGCUAAACCGGAUACUUAUACAUGGAUCCGCGCUGCAUUAGCUAGUUGGUAAGGUAACGGCUUACCAAGGCAACGAUGUAUCUCCGACCUGAGAGGGUGACCGGCCACACUGGAACUGAGACACGGUCCAGACUCCUACGGGAGGCAGCAGUAGGGAAUCUUCCGCAAUGGGCGAAAGCCUGACGGAGCCACGCCGCGUGAAUGAAGAAGGUCUUCGGGUCGUAAAGCUCUGUUAUCAGGGAGGCGGUACCUAAAGAGAAAGCCCCGGCUAACUACGUGCCAGCAGCCGCGGUAAUAC